GACGAACCGUGCGAACGUUAUUCGGAAUCACUGGGCUUAAAGCGCGUGUAGGCGGAUGGGAACGUCGGUCGUUGAAAUCCCCCGGCUCAACCGGGGAAUGGGCGCCGAAACGACCCGUCUGGAGGGACGUAGGGGGACCUGGAACUUCCGGUGGAGCGGUGAAAUGCGUUGAGAUCGGAAGGAACGCCCGUGGCGAAAGCGAGGUCCUGGACGUCUACUGACGCUGAGACGCGAAAGCUAGGGUAGCGAACGGG
rnacentral:rRNA from 1 species